rnacentral:rRNA from 1 species
AUUGAACGCUGGCGGCAGGCCUAACACAUGCAAGUCGAGCGGAUGAAGGGAGCUUGCUCCUGGAUUCAGCGGCGGACGGGUGAGUAAUGCCUAGGAAUCUGCCUGGUAGUGGGGGAUAACGUCCGGAAACGGGCGCUAAUACCGCAUACGUCCUGAGGGAGAAAGUGGGGGAUCUUCGGACCUCACGCUAUCAGAUGAGCCUAGGUCGGAUUAGCUAGUUGGUGGGGUAAAGGCCUACCAAGGCGACGAUCCGUAACUGGUCUGAGAGGAUGAUCAGUCACACCGGAACUGAGACACGGUCCAGACUCCUACGGGAGGUAGCAGUGGGGAAUAUUGGACAAAGGGCGAAAGCCUGAUCCAGCCAUGCCGCGUGUGUGAAGAAGGUCUUCGGAUUGUAAAGCACUUUAAGUUGGGAGGAAGGGCAGUAAGUUAAUACCUUGCUGUUUUGACGUUACCAACAGAAUAAGCACCGGCUAACUUCGUG